rfam:Phytophthora nicotianae strain race 0 contig4407, whole genome shotgun sequence.
GCCCUUGUAGCUCAACGGUAAAGCGUUGGCUUUGAAAACCAAAGCUCCGUGGUUCGAUGCCGUCCGGGACA